UACGUAGGGUGCGAGCGUUAAUCGGAAUUACUGGGCGUAAUGCGUGCGCAGGCGGCUUUGCAAGACACAUGUGAAAUCCCCGGGCUCAACCUGGGAACUGCAUUUGUGACUGCAAGGCUAGAGUACGGCAGAGGGGGAUGGAAUUCAGCGUGUAGCAGUGAAAUGCGUAGAUAUGCGGAGGAACACCAAUGGCGAAGGCAAUCCCCUGGGCCUGUACUGACGCUCAUGCACGAAAGCGUGGGGAGCAAACAGG
rnacentral:rRNA from 1 species